CGGGGUGUAGCGCAGCCUGGUAGCGCACCUGUUUUGGGAGCAGGGAGCCGGAGGUUCAAAUCCUCUCACCCCGA
rnacentral:tRNA from 2 species